rnacentral:rRNA from 1 species
UGGGGAAUCUUCCGCAAUGGGUGAAAGCCUGACGGAGCAACGCCGCGUGAGGGACGAAGGCCUCUGGGCUGUAAACCUCUUUUCUCAAGGAAGAAGAUAUGACGGUACUUGAGGAAUAAGCCACGGCUAAUUCCGUGCCAGCAGCCGCGGUAAUACGGGAGUGGCAAGCGUUAUCCGGAAUUAUUGGGCGUAAAGCGUCCGCAGGCGGCUUUUCAAGUCUGCUGUUAAAGCGUGGAGCUUAACUCCAUCAUGGCAGUGGAAACUGAAAGGCUUGAGUAUGGUAGGGGCAGAGGGAAUUCCCGGUGUAGCGGUGAAAUGCGUAGAUAUCGGGAAGAACACCGGUGGCGAAAGCGCUCUACUGGACCAUUACUGACACUCAGAGGCGAAAGCUAGGGUAGCAAAAGGGAUUAGAUACCCCUGUAGUCA